GGCCAUGUAGCUCAGUUGGCAGAGCUUCGGACUACUACACCGAAGGCCGCUGGUUCAAAUCCUGCCGUGGUCA